GCCAGUGUGGCUCAGUUGGUUGAGCGUUGUCCCAUGUACCAAAUGGUCCCGGGUUCAAUUCCUGGUAAGGGCA
rnacentral:tRNA from 1 species